AUUGAACGCUGGCGGCAUGCCUUACACAUGCAAGUCGAACGGUAACGGGCCUUCUGGUGCCGGCGAGUGGCGCACGGGUGAGUAGUACAUCGGAACGUGCCCGAUCGUGGGGGAUAACGCGGCGAAAGAUUUGCUAAUAUCGCACAUGAUCUCUGGAGGAAAGCGGGGGACAGCAAGGCCUCGCGCGGUCGGAGCGGCGGAUGGCUGGUUAGGUAGUUGGUGGGGUAAAAGCUUACCAAGGCGACGAUCUGUAGCUGGUCUGAGAGGAUGAUCAGCCACACUGGGACUGAGACACGGCCCAGACUCCUACGGGAGGCAGCAGUGGGGAAUUUUGGACAAUGGGCGCAAGCCUGAUCCAGCCAUGCCGCGUGUAGGAUGAAGGCCUUCGGAUUGUAAAGUGCUUUUGGACGGAAGGAAAAGCACUCAGUUAAUACAGGAGGGUCAUGACGGUACCGGAAGAAUAAGCACCGGCUAACUACGUG
rnacentral:rRNA from 1 species